ensembl:misc_RNA Y_RNA Y RNA
GGCUGAUCCGAAGAUGAUGAGUUAUCUUAAUUGAUUGUUCAGUCAGUUACAGAUCCAACUCCUUGCUCUAUUCUUUUUUCUCUUCUUACUACUGCACUUGGCUAGGAAAA